rnacentral:rRNA from 1 species
GAUGAACGCUGGCGGCGUGCCUAAUACAUGCAAGUCGAGCGAACAGACGAGGAGCUUGCUCCUCUGACGUUAGCGGCGGACGGGUGAGUAACACGUGGAUAACCUACCUAUAAGACUGGGAUAACUUCGGGAAACCGGAGCUAAUACCGGAUAAUAUAUUGAACCGCAUGGUUCAAUAGUGAAAGACGGUUUUGCUGUCACUUAUAGAUGGAUCCGCGCCGAAUUAGCUAGUUGGUAAGGUAACGGCUUACCAAGGCAACGAUGCGUAGCCGACCUGAGAGGGUGAUCGGCCACACUGGAACGGAGACAGGGCCCAGACUCCUACGGGAGGCAGAAGUAGGGAAUCUUCCGCAAUGGGCGAAAGCCUGACGGAGCAACGCCGCGUGAGUGAUGAAGGUCUUCGGAUCGUAAAACUCUGUUAUUAGGGAAGAACAAAUGUGUAAGUAACUAUGCACGUCUUGACGGUACCUAAUCAGAAAGCCACGGCUAACUACGUG